rnacentral:rRNA from 1 species
GAUGAACGCUGGCGGCGUGCCUAAUACAUGCAAGUCGAGCGAAUGGAUUAAGAGCUUGCUCUUAUGAAGUUAGCGGCGGACGGGUGAGUAACACGUGGGUAACCUGCCCAUAAGACUGGGAUAACUCCGGGAAACCGGGGCUAAUACCGGAUAACAUUUUGAACCGCAUGGUUCGAAAUUGAAAGGCGGCUUGGGCUGUCACCUAUGGAUGGACCCGCGUCGCAUUAGCUAGUUGGGGAGGUAACGGCUCACCAAGGCAACGAUGCGUAGCCGACCUGAGAGGGUGAUCGGCCACACUGGGACUGAGACACGGCCCAGACUCCUACGGGAGGCAGCAGUAGGGAAUCUUCCGCAAUGGACGAAAGUCUGACGGAGCAACGCCGCGUGAGUGAUGAAGGCUUUCGGGUCGUAAAACUCUGUUGUUAGGGAAGAACAAGUGCUAGUUGAAUAAGCUGGCACCUUGACGGUACCUAACCAGAAAGCCACGGCUAACUACGUGCCAGCCGCCGCAGUAA